rnacentral:rRNA from 1 species
UACGGGGGGGGUAAGCGUUGUUCGGAAUUACUGGGCGUAAAGGGCUCGUAGGCGGCCAACUAAGUCAUACGUGAAAUCCCUCAGCUUAACUGGGGAACUGCAUCCGAUACUGGAUGGCUUGAAUCCGGGAGAGGGAUGCAGAAUUCCAGGUGUAGCGGUGAAAUGCGUAGAUAUCUGGAGGAACACCGGUGGCGAAGGCGGCUUCCUGGACCGACACUGACGCUGAGGCGCGAAAGCUAGGGGAGCAAACGGGG